CAACUCUGAGAUGCGGAGUGAGGCCUCCGGGUCCAGACAGCUCUGGAGCACAAAGUGAAGACACAAAAGAUGCAUUGAUGUUAUUUAAAAGGAGCUAAUAAAUAUCUAAAGCAGUCAUUCAAAUGUGUUCUAAUAUAAAUCCUGUGUUCCUGACAUUGUAGGGAUUGAGACAGGAAGUGAUGUCACUGUGGGAACUGUUCUGUGUUGGGACAAGGACCGAGGACAUCCCUCCUCCUCUGCUUCUGCUUGUGACCCUGAUCGGGUAACGUUCCCACCCUGCUCUGACCCUCUGACUCUGCCAUGGGCACCAGGCUCCUCUGCUGGGCAGCCCUGUGUCUCCUGCAGACAGAUCACACAGGUGCUGGAGUCUCCCAGUCCCCCAGUAACAAGGUCACAGAGAAGGGAAAGGAUGUAGCUCUCAGGUGUGAUCCAAUUUCAGGUCAUACGGUCCUUUAUUGGUACCGACAGAACCCCGGGCAGGGCCCAGAGUUUCUAAUUUACUUCCAAGGCAAGGAUAUAGCAGACGAUUCAGGGCUGCCCAGUGAUCGGUUCUCUGCAGAGAGGUCUAGGGGAUCCGUCUCCACUCUGCAGAUCCAGCGCACAGAGCAGGCAGACUCAGCGGUGUAUCUCUGUGCCAGCAGCUUAGCCACAGCGUGA